GUUUCAGCAGCCGCGGUAAGACAGAGGGUGCAAACGUUGUUCGGAAUUACUGGGCGUAAAGCGCGUGUAGGCGGCUCGGAAAGUCGGGUGUGAAAGCCCUGGGCUCAACCUAGGAAGUGCACUCGAAACUUCCGAGCUGGAGUUCUGGAGAGGAAGGCGGAAUUCUCGGUGUAGAGGUGAAAUUCGUAGAUAUCGAGAGGAACACCGGUGGCGAAGGCGGCCUUCUGGACAGCAACUGACGCUGAGACGCGAAAGCGUGGGGAGCAAACAGGAUUAGAUACCCUUGUAGUCC
rnacentral:rRNA from 1 species